rnacentral:rRNA from 1 species
UACGUAGGGUGCGAGCGUUAAUCGGAAUUACUGGGCGUAAAGCGUGCGCAGGCGGUGAUGUAAGACAGGUGUGAAAUCCCCGGGCUUAACCUGGGAACUGCAUUUGUGACUGCAUCGCUGGAGUGCGGCAGAGGGGGAUGGAAUUCCGCGUGUAGCAGUGAAAUGCGUAGAGAUCAGGAGGAAUACCGAUGGCGAAGGCAGGUCUCUGGGCUGAUACUGACGCUCAUGCACGAAAGCGUGGGGAGCAAACAGG